UACGGAGGGUGCAAGCGUUAUCCGGAUUCACUGGGUUUAAAGGGUGCGUAGGAGGGCAGGUAAGUCCGUGGUGAAAUCUCCGAGCUUAACUCGGAAACUGCCGUGGAUACUACCGGUCUUGAAUAUCGUGGAGGUGAGCGGAAUAUGUCAUGUAGCGGUGAAAUGCUUAGAGAUGACAUAGAACACCCAUUGCGAAGGCAGCUCACUACCCGAAUAUUGACUCUGAGGCACGAAAAGCGUGGGGAUCAAACAGG
rnacentral:rRNA from 1 species